GUAAAUGCAGAAAGGUUGCUAGAAGCAUAGUGAUUUCAUAGUAAUUUCAGCUAAUAAUCCAGUGUUUUUGAACUAGAUCCAGUGUUGUUUGAUAACAUAAUAAUUGUAAAGGAAAGUGUAACACGUUUUGGUGCAAAGAUUACAAAAUGAGUAAAAUCAGAUGUAUUCGUCCAUUCAAAGACAUUCAGUGUUCGAAAGAGCUGCGAUAUCUCACGGAUGGUAUCAUCCAAAAACUAAAGUCAAUUGGAUUUUACAAGGUAUCCACACUGAACACCAAGGAUUUUCGUAUUUGUUCGUCUUGCCGUCUACAUAUUGAUUCAAGAGCUCACCUCACCCAAAACGAAGAACAAAGCGUAGCCGGUGGCUCAAGGAUGCCAACUGUUCAGACCAUACCUGUUGUACCUGAUUCGCAAAGCUAUGAAAGUUUGGUCACGAUACCAUCAGCGUCAACGCUAAGCACAAUUCAAUCAAAUGAAGACUUCACGAUGCCUGUAGACGUCGAAAUAUUCAACCGAGGAAUAGCAGCUAUUCGUGUUUCGCCUAUAGAUUUAGGUAA